AUUCUAUGUAGGACUCGUACCAAUCAAUUUUCCAAUCAUUUAUCGAUUUGGUAGUUGUUUCCAUCCUCUCCACAGAAUGUUCUGCACGUGAAGCAAAUCGAGGAUUUCUGCUGGAUUUUGGACAUUCAAUGGACUUGGACCACGAAACUUCCAGAAGUCCUAGGGAAAGCCUCUUGAAUGAAUUCCUGUAAAAAAAAAAAAACAACCAAAGAAGGUUAUGAGGCUUAAUUAACGAUUGAGGUUGGAAAAUUUUUCAUGCAUUAAAAUUAAUUACUUGGAAUCCCAGGAGCUGGUAUAACAAUGUAUUCAUAUUUAUAAAGUUAAAACACUCCUGUAAUUUAAUUUGCAAAUCUUAGAGCAAAAGUCUGUUCAGUUGAUUUUUAUAAUUGUUCCAGCAAAGCUUUCAUCUUAAAGGCUUUUUUUAUUUUAUAUUGAUUGGCAAAUUUCUAAAUUCUGUGUUGUACAUAAUACCUUACUUACAUAUCACAUUACGUUUUAUUAACUCCAAGUUAGCAGAGUAAUUCGGACAGGUAACUAACACAUUGCCGUUGAAUUGUGAGUACAUAUCAUGUAAAUUGAGUGGCACCAUUAAGGUUUUAAGAAAUAAAAAAUAGGAAAAUA